UACGAGGGGUGCAAGCGUUAUUCGGAUUUACUGGGCGUAAAGGGUGUGCAGACGGCCUUUCAAGUCAGUUGUUAAAUCUCCCAGCCUAACUGGGAAUCGGCAAUUGAAACUGAUCGGCUUGAGGAUGGAAGAGAGAAGUGGAAUUCUCGGAGUAGCGGUAAAAUGCGUAGAUCUCGAGGGGAACACCGAUGGCGAAGGCAGCUUCUUGGUCCAUUCCUGACGUUGAGACACGAAAGCGUGGGUAGCGAACAGG
rnacentral:rRNA from 1 species